UACGAAGGGGGCUAGCGUUGUUCGGAAUUACUGGGCGUAAAGCGCUCGCAGGCGGAUCGAUAAGUCAGGGGUGAAAUCCCGGGGCUCAACCUCGGAAUUGCCUUUGAUACUGUCAAUCUCGAGUCCGGGAGAGGUGAGUGGAAUUCCUAGUGUAGAGGUGAAAUUCGUAGAUAUUAGGAAGAACACCGGUGGCGAAGGCGGUUCUCUGGGCCUUACCUGACGCUGAGGAGCGAAAGCGUGGGGAGCGAACAGG
rnacentral:rRNA from 1 species